CCUACGGGAGGCAGCAGUAAGGAAUAUUGGUCAAUGGACGAAAGUCUGAACCAGCCAUGCCGCGUGAAGGAUUAAGGCCCUCUGGGUUGUAAACUUCUUUUAUCUGGGACGAAAAAAGGGUAUUCUUACUCACUUGACGGUACCAGAGGAAUAAGCACCGGCUAACUCCGUGCCAGCAGCCGCGGUAAUACGGAGGGUGCAAGCGUUAUCCGGAUUUACUGGGUUUAAAGGGUGCGUAGGUGGGCUUGUAAGUCAGUGGUGAAAUCUCCGGGCUUAACCCGGAAACUGCCAUUGAUACUAUAGGUCUUGAAUUAUCUGGAGGUAAGCGGAAUAUGUCAUGUAGCGGUGAAAUGCUUAGAUAUGACAUAGAACACCAAUUGCGAAGGCAGCUUACUACGGAUAUAUUGACACUGAGGCACGAAAGCGUGGGGAUCAAACAGGAUUAGAUACCCUGGUAGUCCACGACCUAACGAUAGAUACUACGACAUACAGACGAUACACUGUUGGUUGUCUG
rnacentral:rRNA from 1 species